rnacentral:miRNA from 1 species
AGGAAGAACCGGUAAUAAGCA